rnacentral:rRNA from 1 species
GACGAACGCUGGCGGCGCGCUUAACACAUGCAAGUCGAACGGAAAGGCCUGCUUUCCCUUGUGGAUUGCGGGUACUCGAGUGGCGAACGGGUGAGUAACACGUGAGUGAUCUGCCCCCAACUUGGGUAUAAGCCUGGGAAACUGGGUCUAAUUCCCGAUAGGACUGCAGGGUGGUGCCUUUGGUUGAAAACGAUUUUCUAGUGGUUGGGGAUGAGCUCGCGGCCUAUCAGCUUGUUGGUGGGGUAAUGGCCUACCAAGGCGGCGACGGGUAGCCGGCCUGAGAGGGUGGACGGCCACAUUGGGACUGAGAUACGGCCCAGACUCCUACGGGAGGCAGCAGUGGGGAAUAUUGCACAAUGGGCGGAAGCCUGAUGCAGCGACGCCGCGUGGGGGAUGACGGCCUUCGGGAUGUAAACUCCUUUCGACCGCGAGGAAGCCACCUGGUGGGAAGGGUGGUGACGGUAGUGGUAGAAGAAGCACCGGCUAACUACGU